UGAUUUGGUGAGAAAAUAAUGCCUAAAAGCCUAGCUAUCAUUUCUUUCUUCUCCAUCUCUCUUCUCCACCAAAAAUAUCAGCAAAAAUGGAGUUUUGAAGGCUGAAAAUUUUCAGCAACUAAAAGCCCUCACAAGUAAGUGAUUCCCACACCCUUUGUUGAUGAUUUUUGCAUUUUUGAGACCCUUGAAGCAUGAGUUUUCUAAUGAGGGUGAUAUCUUGCAAAAUGGUCAAGAGUUUAG
rnacentral:lncRNA from 1 species